AGUGUUUGGUAGAAGUGGCAAUGUUGUACUUUUACAGCUAAAGCAAGGGAGAUUGAAGUGAAGAUAUGAAAACACAAAUACUUGAAAAGUUACAUUCCUGGAAAAGAGAGACACAGAGAAGCUGACAGAGAAAGCUGAUGCUCAGGAGUACACUAAGAACCUUCAGAGGAAGAUUAUGCCAUACACAGUCAGGUGGCAUUUGUCCAGAAGCUGACAUGUCCUUUCAUUGCUAAAAACCUUGGUUUGGAAUGGAAUGGAGUCAAGUACAGGAAGGAAAAGAUUAUGGAAACAGUAAGAAUUUGAGACCUCAGCGAUCUUCAGACACAAUAAAACAUUUUCUCCUGUUAUCAGCAGCCAUAAAAAACAUAGAGAUGCUGCAACCCAAGUACCCAAGUGAAGGCACAGUUCCAUCUGAGAAUGCUUUGGGUUCCAGAAGGUUCAGGUUCACAGCAUGAACUUAGAGACUGGCUAUUGAGAACACACUGGUUGGUAAGUCUUUGCUAGGUGAAGAUACAAUUCACAUAACUUAGAGACUGGCU
rnacentral:lncRNA from 12 species